GUAUUUUUUUCCAAAAAUUACUUGGCGACAACUUCCACAGCCAAUUUUAAGAAACAAUAAAAAAACUAAUGUCAUUUAUGAUUAGUAUAAAAGUGUCAUUUGUGUGAUUAUACGUGAUAACAAAGCGUAAAAUAUGAAACUAUGCAGUGUUUUGAAAUGUCUAAACACUAAAAUUAUUAAACGCCAUCGUUUUCCCAACCCCUACAAAUACAACGAGCGUUUUAAAAUUUGGUUGGAACGGACAGGGAAUCCAAAUUUAGGCAAAUUAGAUCCCACGAAAAUAUAUAAAAAUGGAUAUUUUCUUUGCGAUGUACAUUUUAAAGAAACGGAUUUUGGCCCCAAUCAAAAACUUAAAAAUACUGCCAUUCCUACAAUUCAAAUUAUGCAUGGUAAAUAUUUGUGUGCAAGUGAAUGCCAUAGAUAAUUUUUACAAUAAUUUCAGAUAAUAUGAACGACCCCGAAAGACACACCCAUGAUCCCGUAAACCCUAUUUCUAUACUGGAUUCUCAAAAAUUUUGUACUGAAGUAUCUCGAAAUUCCAGAGAAACCCUAAACGAAACUUUAAACCAAGAAUCUUCUCGAAUACUAAAUUUACAUUCAAAUUCUAGGAAUAUUUCGCGUACAGCCCGUAGAAACAAAAUUAAGGUAGCUUCGUAUCGCCAACGAUUGAAAUUAUACUCCAAAUUUGAAGUAAAAUUAGAAAGCAAAAUUUUAAGUCAGGAUGCUAUAAAUUUUUGUUUAUCACAAUUAAAAAGACGAAAUGUCAAACCAAAGGGUCGCAGGUUUACCACUGAAGAUAAAUUAUUUGCAUUAAUGUUUUAUAAACAGUCUGGGAGAUGUUAUAGAAAAAUGAGACAGAUUUUUGCACUGCCUUCACGUCAAACAAUUAUGUCUAUGUUGAACAAAAUUCCAGUAGACGUUGGUAUAAACAAAAUAAUUUUCGACAAUCUUAAAGAAUCUGCUUCAAAAUUAAAUAACCAAGAUAGAAUAUGUGCAUUAAUUUUUGAUGAAAUGUCCAUAAUGCCCCACAUAGACUAUGACAAAUAUACGGAUACAUUUUUCGGAUUUCAAAAUUUUGGAUUUGAACAAAAUUUACAGAUAGCAGAUCAUGUUCUUGUUUUUUUCAUUCGCGGAGUGUUUAAAAAAUGGCAACAGCCAAUAUACUUUGCAUUUUCUUUUUCGUCUACAAAAUCUUACAUAUUGACAACUAUUAUAAAAACUCUGGUUGAAAAAAUACAAAAUUGUGGAUUCAAAAUUCUGGUUACAAUUUGUGAUCAAGGCCAACCAAACCAAGCAGCUAUAAAUUCUCUGCUAAAGGAGUCGAAACAACGUUAUAUACAUAAAGGGAUGGAACCUAAAAGAAGAAUUUUAUUAGGGGAUCAAGAAAUUAUUCCAUUAUAUGACACGCCUCAUUUAAUUAAAUGUAUUAGGAACAAUCUGCUUACUAAAAAUUUAGUGUGGAAAACAAGCGAAGAAAUUUUGGUUGCAAAUUGGAAACAUAUAAUCGAUGCGUACUACAGUGAUCAAACAUGUGGAGAAUUACGGGCUCUACACAAAAUUACGGAUCUCCACGUAAUUCCGGAAAAAAUUCAAAAGAUGAAGGUGUGCUAUGCGACACAAGUUUUGAGUCACUCAAUGGCAUCGACUAUUACGCUAUUGGUUAAAUCUACCGAAUGCAGUUUAACACACGAGGCAAUGGGAACAGCACGAAUUAUAAAAUUUUUUGACAAGCUCUUCGACAGUGUAAAUGGCAGUACUUUUCAACCACGGUGCGGAAAACCAUUUUCUGGGGGCGUAUUUAAAUCUUCUGGUCAUAAACAUUUUUGGAAGGAAGCUAUCAAAAUUUUGGGUGAUAUGUAUUUCGUCGAUGAGGCCGGAAAAAUGGUAGUACCUCCGUGUAUAAAAAACUGGAUUGCAACGUUAGAAGGUUUUGUGGAUUUACAUACAAUUUGAGUAGAACAGGGCAGGUGCAAAUAUUUUUUACCUAGAUGUUUAAAUCAAGAUGUUAUUGAAAACUAUUUUGGCAAAAUCAGAAGUCAAAGAAAUCGAGCAACUAAUCUAACGGCAGCCCAAUUUAAGGAAAGUUUCAAAUCUCUAUUAUUACGCAAUUUUUAUAGUUCAAAUUCAGUGGGCGCAAACUGUGAGAAAACGAACAUACCGGAUUUAUUUCAUAUUAAAAGACUUGUGGAUAAAAACAUAAAUCAACCUUCAGUAUAUGAAACGAGUUACGAAAUUUUAAACGUGAAUAUGUACAUUUCAAAACUGUCUCCAUAUAAUUUAGAAAAGGAUCUUCAUAAAAGUAUUGUUGGUUAUGUGUCUGGCUGGGUUGCGAAAACAUUAAGAAAUUUGAAGUGUGAAUAUUGUAAAACCCAAAUUUUAAACAAUUUUUCGGAAGACGAACAAUGUUACAAAUUAAUACGUAUAAGAGAAUACAAUUGUAAUAACAGAAAAUUGCAAUAUUGUAAGUUAGAUUUUAUAAAAAACAUUAACAGAAUUUAUAAUAUUUCAAGAAUCGUUUUAAACAAUUGUACAUCUUUCGACAACAUCAAAAACAAAAUUUCGUUUAUAGUAUCUCAUCAUGUCAAAUUUUCGUUUCAUUGUGAACAUAAGGAAUUAAUUGAAAGUGAAAUAUGUAAUAAAAUUAUAUAUUUAACAAUUUUUACGUUUGUAAAAGGUUUGAAUUUAAUUUUAAGCGGUCGCGAUACAAGAGUUUCCACACAUAAAAAUGCAUUAUAUCAAAACGCUUGUAUAAUGUACCAAAAAAAAUUAAAGUCAAAAAAUCGUAGAUAAUACUAAUAAAUUGUAUAUUAUUCUA